rnacentral:rRNA from 1 species
CAAUAGCGUAUAUUAAAGUUGUUGCAGUUAAAAAGCUCGUAGUUGGAUUUCGGGGCAGCCUGGCUGGUCCGCCGCAAGGCGAGUACUGGUCAGCCGCCCUUCCUCUCGAAAGCCCCGACUGCUCUUUAUUGCAGUGGUCGGGUAGUUCGGGACGUUUACUUUGAAAAAAUUAGAGUGUUCAAGGCAGGCCUACGCCUGAAUACAUUAGCAUGGAAUAAUGGAAGAGGGCCUCGGUCCUAUUUUGUUGGUUUCCAGGACCGAAGUAAUGAUUAAGAGGGACAGUUGGGGGCAUUCGUAUUUAAUUGUCAGAGGUGAAAUUCUCGGAUUUAUGAAAGACGAACAACUGCGAAAGCAUUUGCCAAGGAUGUUUUCAUUAA